GCCGAUGUGGCGGAAUUGGUAGACGCGCUAGCUUGAGGGGCUAGUGGGGGCAACCUCGUGCCGGUUCGAGUCCGGCCAUCGGCACCA
rnacentral:tRNA from 1 species